rnacentral:rRNA from 1 species
CAAUUCGCAUGACGAAGUCUGACGGAGCACGCCGCGUGAGUGAUGAAGGCUUUCGGGUCGUAAAACUCUGUUGUUAGGGAAGAACAAGUGCUAGUUGAAUAAGCUGGCACCUUGACGGUACCUAACCAGAAAGCCACGGCUAACUCCGUGCCAGCAGCCGCGGUAAUAA